GAGCAGCACAGAAAAGGGACUUUCAGAGC
rnacentral:piRNA from 1 species